rnacentral:tRNA from 1 species
GGGGAUAUGGCGGAACGGUAGACGCUGAGGACUUAAAAUCCUUUGGUUAUUGCAACCGUGUGGGUUCAAGUCCCACUAUCCCCACCA